rnacentral:rRNA from 1 species
UACGGAGGGUGCGAGCGUUGUCCGGAAUUACUGGGCGUAAAGGGCGCGUAGGCGGCCUUCUAAGUCGAACGUGAAAUCCCUGGGCUUAACCCAGGAACUGCGUCCGAUACUGGAAGGCUUGAAUCCGGGAGAGGGAUGCGGAAUUCCAGGUGUAGCGGUGAAAUGCGUAGAUAUCUGGAGGAACACCGGUGGCGAAGGCGGCAUCCUGGACCGGCAUUGACGCUGAGGCGCGAAAGCCAGGGGAGCAAACGGG